rnacentral:lncRNA from 1 species
AUGGGAACCAUUAAACCAUUCUAACCAGAGAGAGGAUAUGGUUCAUUUGUACUUGAAAAAGGUCACUCUGCUGCCAUGUGGGCAAUGGAUUGGACACAGACAAGAUUAGAGGCUGUUGCCAGAGUCCAGAUGAGAGAUAAGGGUGACCUGGAUCAGGCUGGUGGCGCCAAAGAAAGAGUGCACAGAAUCAAGGAAUAUUGAGGAGGUGGAAUCUACAGACCUGGUGACGACUGGAUGAGGAAUGGGGAUGCCCUGUUGAGGCUACAAGUGCAACCACCACUGAAUCAACCAAACAAAACUUUUUCAUGCAUCGAUUUGGUCUCCACUUCCCAAAUAAGGUCAAGAUUGAGGAUAGCAAGAAUCAGCCUCCACCAUAAAAAAGACCAAAACCCCAAAGGAUGUGAUUUUUCUUUAAAGUUGUUCACUGCAACGAGAGUUUCUAUAUUUGAGAUAUGAGGUCCAGGAGCUGAUGCAAUCUUUCUUCGUUGGGUUUCAAAAGGCAGGCAGGAGAGGCAGCAGGCACCGGGCUCGCGGACUCUGGGUCCCGGGAACACCCACGCGGCUUCAAGAAGAGGGAGCGAGUCUGGAAACCGAAACCGGCCCUGGGCGCACAGACGAUGGCCUCGGGGCUUGCUCGUCCCGCCCGCUGGCCGCAGGUGCGCGAGCACCCCCACCCACCCCUGGGCGAUCUCAGCCCGGGGACCGCCCCCCCGACCCCCAGUCUCCUGUCGGGGGGCGAGGGAGGCGGGGACAGAGGUGGG